UGGUCUCGGCUGCAGAAGCGAGAUGAUGAAGGGAACGUCAUCGUUUGGAAAGCGUCGCAAUAAGACGCACACAUUGUGCCGCCGCUGUGGCUCUAAGGCCUACCACCUUCAGAAGUUGACCUGUGGCAAAUGUGGCUACCCUGCCAAGCGCAAAAGAAAGUAUAACCGGAGUGCCAAGGCUAAAAGACGAAAUACCACCAGAACUGGUCGAAUGAGGCACCUAAAAAUUGUAAUACCGCAGAUUCAGGCAUGGAUUCCGUGAAGGAACAACACCUAAACCCAAGAGGGCAGCUGUUGCAGCAUCCAGUUCAUCUUAAGAAUGUCAACGAUUAGUCACGCAAUAAAUGUUCUGGUUUUAAAAA